GACUUGAAGAUGUAGCAUUUUGAGUCCACUUCUGACUCACUCCUGGCUACACAUCUGCAUUGCUGUGACCUGUGGACCAAACAGGUUAGUCUGCAGCAGAGAAAGUCAUAACACACGGGAAUCCACCAAGUUAGGUCUGGAGAAGCAAAGAUGUCAAAUUCUUCCUUCUGGUCACCGAAAGAAGGCACCACACCUGACUUACUCUGCGGGAAGCCAGUUGGUUUCCUCACCACGAAGGACCGUUUCAUGAUGCUUAUAUGUGGCACUCUUGUUCUGGGAGGAUUCUCGAGAAUGUUUUUCAAGAAUUCUGAAGUCAUUGUCUUAACCAUUCUUUCUGUAUCAGGAUUUAUAAUAGGA
rnacentral:lncRNA from 1 species